rnacentral:ncRNA from 1 species
GCAGUGAUACCGCCGCCGGUAUGCCCCUCGGGAAGGGCCGGUGCGGUGUUGAUGGGUCUCUUCCGUCUUGCCGGACGGGAGAUGAAGGGCUCAUUCGCUUAUGGCGCCCGGGAGUUGCCGUUCCCGGGCGCCGCAG